GUCAGAUACUGCAUAUGGUAAAAACUACAGUGGUUAAAAACUUAACUUUUACUUGGUACUGGAUAAAAAAGUCCACCAACUGACGGGCUUCUACUAAUUAACUUAGACUGAUCAGAGGAAUACUAAUACAUAAUAAAACAUAAACACAAUUACAACAAGCCAAAAGUAACUUGAACAGAUAGCAGUACUGAUAUAGGUAUUAUUUGCAAAAUAGCCUCCUAAAUAGGGGUGUACUGCAGGUUGACAAAGAGCAAAAAAUUAUAAUAGCAUACUCUUAUGUUGAAAAGAUAUAGAAGUGGCUAAGCCAAUUGUUUGAUCUGUAUGGGCUCAUGUGUGUAUAAACAAUAAAAUAAUGUUACAGUAUGGAUGGAAAGGUAAGUUUGUUAGCGAUGUUGUUACAGUUGAACUAAUAAAGCAACAAUGCUGAGUGACAGGGGAGGAAAGAACAACAGAGGGGAAAGGAAA